rnacentral:rRNA from 1 species
GGCGGCGUGCCUAAUACAUGCAAGUCGAACGCGAGCAGCAAUGCUCGAGUGGCGAACGGGUGAGUAAUACAUAAGUAACCUGCCCUAGACAGGGGGAUAACUGCUGGAAACGGCAGCUAACACCGCAUAGGUAUGGACACUGCAUGGUGACCAUAUUAAAAGUGCCAAGGCACUGGUAGAGGAUGGACUUAUGGCGCAUUAGCUGGUUGGUGAGGUGACGGCUCACCAAGGCGACGAUGCGUAGCCGACCUGAGAGGGUGACCGGCCACACUGGGACUGAGACACGGCCCAGACUCCUGCGGGAGGCAGCAGUAGGGAAUUUUCGGCAAUGGGGGGAACCCUGACCGAGCAACGCCGCGUGAAGGAAGAAGGAAUUCGUUCUGUAAACUUCUGUUAUAAAGGAAGAACGGCGGAUAUAGGGAAUGAUAUCCGAGUGACGGUACUUUAUGAGAAAGCCACGGCUAACUACGUGCCAGCAGCCGCGGUAAUACGUAGGUGGCGAGCGUUAUCCGGAAUUAUUGGGCGUAAAGAGGGAGCAGGCGGCGGCAGAGGUCUGUGGUGAAAGACUGAAGCUUAACUUCAGUAAGCCAUAGAAACCGGGCUGCUAGAGUGCAGGAGAGGAUCGUGGAAUUCCAUGUGUAGCGGUGAAAUGCGUAGAUAUAUGGAGGAACACCAGUGGCGAAGGCGACGGUCUGGCCUGUAACUGACGCUCAUUCCCGAAAGCGUGGGGAGCAAAUAGGAUUAGAUACCCUAGUAGUCCACGCCGUAAACGAUGGAGUACUAAGUGUUGGGAGUCAAAUUUCAGUGCUGCAGUUAACGCAAUAAGUACUCCGCGUGAGUAGUACGUUCGCAAGAAUGAAACUCAAAGGAAUUGACGGGGGCCCGCACAAGCGGUGGAGCAUGUGGUUUAAUUCGAAGCAACGCGAAGAACCUUACCAGGUCUUGACAUCCGGAUAAAGACCUCAGAGAUGAGGGGAUAGAUAUAUCCGAGACAGGUGGUGCAUGGUUGUCGUCAGCUCGUGUCGUGAGAUGUUGGGUUAAGUCCCGCAACGAGCGCAACCCUUGUCGCUAGUUACCAUCAUUAAGUUGGGGACUCUAGCGAGACUGCCAGUGACAAGCUGGAGGAAGGCGGGGAUGACGUCAAAUCAUCAUGCCCCUUAUGACCUGGGCUACACACGUGCUACAAUGGAUGGAGCAGAGGGAAGCGAAGCCGCGAGGUGAAGCAAAACCCAUAAAACCAUUCUCAGUUCGGAUUGUAGUCUGCAACUCGACUACAUGAAGUUGGAAUCGCUAGUAAUCGCGAAUCAGCAUGUCGCGGUGAAUACGUUCUCGGGCCUUGCACU